UAUCAUUACGCGAGAGGUGAAAUUCGUGGACCGUAGUGAGACGCCCAAUAGCGAAAGCAUUUGCCAAGAAUGUCUUCAUUAAUCAAGAACGAAAGCCAGAGGUUCGAAGGCGAUUAGAUACCGCCCUAGUUCUGACCGUAAACGAUGCCAUCUCGCGAUUCGGAGGGUUCAUGCCCUACCGAGGAGCUACCCGGAAACGAAAGUCUUUCGGUUCCGGGGGUAGUAUGGUUGCAAAGCUGAAACUUAAAGAAAUUGACGGAAGGGCACCACAAGGCGUGGAGCUUGCGGCUUAAUUUGACUCAACACGGGAAAACUCACCCGGUCCGGACACUAUUAGGACUGACAGAUUGAAAGCUCUUUCUCGAUUUGGUGGUUGGUGGUGCAUGGCCGUUCUUAGUUGGUGGAGUGAUUUGUCUGGUUUAUUCCGAUAACGAGCGAGACUCUAGCCUGCUAAAUAGUCGACGAAUCUUCGGGUUCGUAUAACUUCUUAGAGGGAUAAGCGGUGUUUAGCCGCACGAGAUUGAGCGAUAACAGGUCUGUGAUGCCCUUAGAUGUCCGGGGCUGCACGCGUGCUACACUGGUGGAGUCAGCGGGUUUUUCCUAUGCCGAAAGGUAUCGGUAAACCGUUGAACUUCUUCCAUGUCCGGGAUAGGGUAUUGUAAUUAUUACCCUUAAACGAGGAAUGCCUAGUAAGUGUGAGUCAUCAGCUCACGUUGAUUACGUCCCUGCCCUUUGUACACACCGCCCGUCGCUAUCCGGGACUGAACUGAUUCGAGAAGAGUGGGGACUGUGGCUGCGAGGAUUUACCACUUCGCAGUUGCGGAAACCAUUUUUAUCGCAUUGGUUUGAACCGGGUAAAAGUCGUAACAAGGUAGCUGUAGGUGAACCUGCAGCUGGAUCAUCG
rnacentral:ncRNA from 1 species